CCUCUAACUCAGUUUCCAAUCAGCCCUUUAGGGCACUCGCAGCAGCUCUGUGGUCUAGACCGGGCCGAAGGGAAUCCGGAUUCUGCACCCGCGAUUCCUGCUCUGAGCCUGCAGGGCCCUGAACGCUGCCUAGCGCCCGGUCCCGGCAGCCCUGCUUCAUCCAGCCUCAACAGGGAGACCCGCUGGAGCCCGUGAGCUGCUGCUGUUCUCCGAGUUCUGCCAGGCAGGAACGGCGCAGGAGGAGCGUGGCAGUGCUGAUGCGCGGCUGGAAGGAAACGCAGCCAAGUAAUCCGUUCAAAGGCAGGGCCCGAUCCGGCAGCGCUACUCACAGGAGUACAUCUGUUACAGCCAGGGCCCGGUUCAGGGCAGCAGGCUGGCAAGGUCAGCCACCGUGAACUGCACCUACAGAACAUUAGAGUGCAGCGCAUGCAUCUGCCCACCAGAGGGCACCUCGGCACCAGAGCUCAUGCACCUGGGCUCAGCAGUUGUACUUCUGGCCUUCACAGCAUCUCCCGGCAACGAGUUCCACAGGUUGACUGAGCGCUGUGUGAAGAAAUACCGCCUUUGUUUGUUUUAAACCUGCUGCCUGUUCGUUUCAUGAGGGAUCCCUGGUUCAUGUGUUGUGUGAAGGGGUCAAUAACACUUCCCUGUUCAUUGUCUCCACACC